GCAAUUUCUUAUGUAGAAAAUGGUAGAUUGAACCUGGUUUUAAAGCGAUAAAUCUCUCAUUAUAUUGACAACGAUGCGUGAACAAAACAAACAGACAUAAUGGGUAAAAAAGUCAAGAUUAGGGGAACAGCUGUCAACAUUAUGUUACAAUCCUAAUCACAAUAAAAACAAACAAAUAUUAAACAAAGAAGCACAAAAAGGCAUAUAUCAAGUUUAACAGCCUUAUUCAUUGAUUUUUUAUUUUUGUAUUUUAUUUAUGUAUGUUAAAUCCACCCAUAAAGGAUUGAAAUAUUUUAAGUACUGAUACCGAAUUGUUAGAUAAACAUUGACUCUGACGUAUAAUCGCGCGUUUUACGUCAGAAUGUACAGAUUGAUCGUUCAAGGUAUAAAAAAAAAUAUAGUCUAUAGUUCGUUUAGGUAUAUCCUCUGCAGAAUGUAAAUUAGAAGUUUACAGUUUCCUUCUUGCCGUUGUCUAUAUGCUUAUUCUGUAUUUCUCCUUAAACAAAAAGAAGAGCCACGUCAUUAUGUAUCAAAGAAACACAAAAGGGCAUAUAGACAAAGCAUUAGCAAAUAUGAAAGACAAGAACACAAAUAUCAUAGUAAAACAAUGACACAAUGGCGGGAUGUAUAAAUACAGUGCCACGCCAUAUGUAUCUAAGAAACAAAAAAAGUGACACGGACAAAUCACAUAAGCAAACAUGCAAGAUAAUACAAACAACGCAAUAACUGGAUGCAUAAGUACAGAGCCACGUCAAAUAGAUAUCACCAAAAACAGACCAAACAGUAAAAGUAAAUAUAUUAAUCAAGACAAAUAAACGAACAC
rnacentral:lncRNA from 1 species